rnacentral:rRNA from 1 species
UAACAAGGAUUCCCCUAGUAACUGCGAGUGAAGCGGGAAGAGCCCAAAUUUAAAAUCUGGCGGUCUCCGGCCGUCCGAGUUGUAAUCUGGAGAAGUGUUAUCCGUGCCGGACCGUGUACAAGUCCCUUGGAAGAGGGCAUCUUAGAGGGUGAAAAUCCCGUCUACGACACGGACUCCCGGUGCUUUUGCGAUGCGCUCUCGAUGAGUCGAGUUGUUUGGGAAUGCAGCUCUAAAUGGGUGGUGAACUCCAUCUAAGGCUAAAUAUAGGCGAGAGACCGAUAGCGAACAAGUACCGUGAGGGAAAGAUGAAAAGAACUUUGGAAAGAGAGUUAAACAGUACGUGAAAUUGCUGAAAGGGAAACGCUUGAAGUCAGUCGCGUCGUCCGGGAUUCAGCCUCGCUUCGGCGUGGUUUACUUCCCGGUUGACGGGUCAGCAUCGAUUUUGGUCGUCGGAAAAAGGUGGGGGGAAUGUGGCACCUUCGGGUGUGUUAUAGCCCCUCGUCAGAUGACGGCGACCGGGAUCGAGGAUCGCGGCGCAGCUCCUUCGGGGGUGCGGGUUCGCCCAGGUCAUGCGCUUAGGAUGCUGGCAU